AAUGUAAUGCAUACAAUGUUAAUGCACCAAAUCCCAUUAGAACUCCGUAGUUAAGCGUGCUUGGGAUAGAGUGGGUGACCUCUCGAGAAGUUCUAGUGUUUUACAUGC
rnacentral:rRNA from 1 species